rnacentral:SRP_RNA from 2 species
GCCGGGCGUGGUAGCUCACGCCUGUAAUCCCAGCACUUUGGGAGGCUGAGGUGGGUGGAUCACCUGAGGUCAGGAGUUUGAGACCAGCCUGACCAACAUGGUGAAACCCUGUCUCUA